rnacentral:lncRNA from 10 species
AGAUAUGGCCUUGCUCUGUCACCCAGGCUGGAGUACAGUGGCACGAUCAUAGCUCAGUGCAGCCUCUACUUCCUGGGCUCAAGCAAUCCUCCCACCUCCACCUCCUGAGUAGUUGGGACUACACAUGUGCACCACCAUGCCUGGCUAUUUUUAAAAAUUGUUUAUGGAUGGGGUCUCACUAUGUUGCCCAGGCUGGUCUCAAACUGCAGGCCUCAAGUGGUCUUCCUGCCUUUGUCUCCUAAAGUGUUGGGAUUACAGGCAUGAGCCACUGCAUCUAGCCAGGUAUGGACAUUUAAAGUGGCAAAUUUGUCCAGACGCGAUGGCUCACACUUGUAAUCCCAGCACUUUGAGAGGCUGAGGCGGGCAGAUCACGAGGUCAGGAGUUCGAGACCAGCCUGGCCAACACAAUGAAACCCCGUCUCUCCUAAAAAUGCAAAAAAAUUAGCUGGGUGUGGUGCAGGUGCCUGUAAUCCCAACUGCUCGGGAGGCUGAGACAAGAGAAUUGCUUGAACCCAGGAGGUGGAGGUUACAGUGAGCCAAGAUCACGCCACUGCACUCCAGCCUGGGCGACAGAGCUAGACUCCAUCUCAAUAAAUAAACAAACAAACAAACAAACAAAGUGGCAAAUUUGAAAUAUCUGGGAAAAUCACUUAUGCAGAUUUCUUCAAUUUGAAUUAAUAGAAUGGAAAAUGAAAAAGAGAAGAGACAAAGCUUUCAGUUGCAGUUGUGUUAUUAACUAGCUGUGCAAUCUAGAAGCUCCGUUUGCUUAUUUUUAAACUGGAAAGGCCUUGAUUUAUACUGUCUGCUGUGGUAGUCACUUGCUACAUAUGGCUAUUUAAAUUGAUUUCAAAUAAAUGAAAAUUAUGAUCAAACACAGAUACAGGAAAACUGAGGUAGGAAAUUAACUGAAACAAAAGUUAUCAGUUUGGGACCAUAGGCAACAGCUAUAAGAAUGCUGAGGUAGGGCAAAAUUACAUAAUUAGCCAGAGAGAGCCCAGCCUGAACCAGUGGUUAGGAGACAAAUGAGAAGGUGUCAAAAUUCACACAACAUGACAAGUCAGAAAGCAAGGCAAUAGAUCAAAAGGGUUCAGUGUAGGCACAGGAAAGACCUUGCUUGCUUAAGACCAGCAUGGUAUGAAUGAAAGAAUUCGGAGGCCACGAUGUCUCCUGUUAAAAGUCCUCCCUCCAUAAUCAUUGUGGUAGACAGACUAGACCCUAGUGUGGUUUCAUUUUCAUGACUCUAUAAUCCCUUCCUCUUAGUGUGGGUGGGACCAAGAACUUGCUUCUAACCAAUAUAAAAUGUGGUGGGAAAGUGAUGGAAAGUCAUUUUCAUCAUUACAUUAUUGUAUUGAUAUAUAACUCUGUGUAGCUAGCAUGCAUUAGAAAGACUCUUUACAUUGCUCCCUUGAAGAAGUAAGCUGCCACAUCAUGAGAGGGCCUAUGGAGGGGGCCAAUGGCAAGGAACUGCAGGUGGCCUAUAUUUGCUGAGAGUGGCCCCCAACUGACAUCCAGCAACAAAACAGGGCCUCAGUCCUACAACCACAAGGAGAUGAAUUCUGCCAAUGACAUGAAGAAGCUUGGAAGUUCUUUCCCCAGUCUAGCCUCUGAUGAGCCCACAGCCUUGACCAACAUCUGGAUUGCAGCCUUUUGAGACCCAGAGCAGAGGGCACAGCUAAGCUGAAUCUGGACUUCUGAACUAUGGAAACUGUGAGAUAAUGAGUAUUGUUUUGAGCCUCUAAGUUUUUGGUAAUUUGUUAUGCAGCAAUAAAAAACUAAUAUGUCCAUUUACCAUGGUCAAUCACGGUAGUUUUCAAGGCUUUCUUUAGUUGUGGAGACCUGUUUUUAAGCCAAA